CAUCUAUACAGAGACACACCUAUCGCACAGCUGAUGUAUAAUGCCAGCUAUAUCAUCCCUUGAUGCGUCAGGUGCCUGUGGGUGUAUCCCUUGUUUCAGAAAUUUGGUAUGACAAGAGCACAAGUGGAGUCCGCCACAACAGUGACAACAGCUUUAGCGAGACCGACUGGAGCGUCAACGACACCAAACUCCGGUCAAUAAGCAGCAAAGGGGACGAAGCAACUCGCAUCAGCAGCAGUGAACACAGACGCACAAUAAACCACCCCUUUGUGAUUCCUUCUACUCCCUUUUGCAAUACUCUAGUAUUGCAUUCUUCCAGGCGUCUUCACUUUCCUGAGACAUUUGCGCUAACCUCUCCGAACCGGCGCCAGCAGUCUUGGGAUCUUCAGAAUGCUGGUAAAAUGAUAGGCUAGUGCUCUGAAUCUACGGUUUCUCCGACGAGCUGUUCACUGCGAACGGGAUCUCCAGAGGAAAGUUAUCUAUUGCUUCAUCUUCAUAGAAGAGGAAAACCAAAACCGUUUAGUUUGUUCUGUACAGAGUAAGAAGCGCAAGCGUGUCGCGAAGAACAGUUAUUCCCGAAAGGAUAACACUGAAGAAGAAAAGCUGGACUGUACAUGAAGCCCUGCUGCACUCUGUUGCUCCCCCAGAGGUGGACGGCCUGAUCCAGCCUGCUGCGCCCAUGGCCUGAGCUCCAGGGCUGUUUGGCUUGGCAGCGUCCUGUAUUUGAUCAGCCUGUUUGCCCAAUCCACCCCUCAUUCAGUGCCCUCUUCUCAGCCUCUCCAGACCCUCUCUGUCUCUGUGUACUUUUUCUUCUUUACUUAAAAUACAAGAUGCUUUGUGAUUAGUUGUGUUGCAAAAUGACUUCAUUAGGAGGAUACAUCCCACUCAGAGGACCAUCUGUUUGAUCUGUACUCAGGGUAUUUUAGUAUUUAUACUUAAAGGACUUAAGUAUUGUUUAUUAGUCAUAAACUCUUCCUGAUUUCAGCCAAGAUACAGAUUUAGUAAUCUAUAUCUUUAUGUUCAUCUUAAUGAUCAAAUAUGUGAUUUCAGGCAAGUAUAAAUGAUAUGCCUCUCUGUUUCACUUUCUUGCUGGAGCUCCUUUAGAU